rnacentral:lncRNA from 1 species
GGCUGAAGUUCGUCCACACCCGCGUGGAGAGCUCUGCAGAGUAUGCUGUCACACUUCUAACCCAUUUCAGGGUCCCCACCGUCACGUGUUAAUCCGCGCUCUUGCGGAGGGCAGCGGAGUUAUUCCCGGUUUCCCACCGUGCAAACCACACUGCGGUGGACACCGGUGUGUCUGAAGGCCUGGCCGCUUUCUGCGGCUCCACAUCCCGCCUCGGGCUGGCAAUUGCCAGGCUUUGGAAUUUCUGCCACUCUGAGAGGCGCCCAAUGCGUGUCCUUCGCCUGUUUAAUGUGCGCGUCUCCGGGCAGUGACGCCGAAGCGUCUCAUCCCUGGACCGAGGCUCGGCUUUCCUUCGCGGCAAGGUCCCGGGACAUCUUCUCAGGAUCCGUGAGCGUUUCGGAGGCGUCUGUACGUCCCUCGGGUCCCAGAAACCUUGGAGAAACAAGAGGAUGCAGGAAAGGGCUGGGAGCCUGGAUGCAGGUCUUGCCUCUGCCUCCGAGUGGCUGGGUCACCUGGACUUUUCCGUCUCGUCUGCUUUCAUUUCCCCAUCAAUAAAACAGGGAUCAAAAUGCCUUCCUCGCAGCCUGUUUUGAAGGCACAAUGAGACAGUGACUGUGAAAAUUCAGCUUUCACAAGUGUGCUCAGCCUUCUCAUUUUGCAAAGGAGGGAGAGAGGCCUGAGGAGUGAAGCCUUUCCAGCAUCAGCUCUCGGCAGAGCGGGGCCGGGAACCUGGGCUCCUGACCCCAUCUGGCGCUUCCCCCACGGCCCUGGCACCCAGGCCACAAGCGGUAACGGUGGGAUUCUAAUUCAGGAAAGUGCAAUAAUAACGGCUCAGGUGGGGCCUGCCACUAUUUGGGCAAACAUGCUAUCUUUAUUUUUAUUUGUUAAAGAGAUUAAAUUAAGGAAGUUAAAUAAAUGAGCACAUUAACUCCCCCCCCCCACAGCUGUACCCCUCUUCCCGGAGCAAAACCAAACUCUUCCUCGGGCCAAAGGUCGGACCAGAGGCGGAUGGGCACAGAGCACGCAGGCAAGCCCCGCGGCAUCGGACACUUUGAAGGCCCGCUGAGCCGCGCACGUGGGCUUCCUUUCAGCAGCUGCUGCUCUGGAGGAUGCGGCUCCAGGCUCGGCUCCCCCGGGGCAGCCUGUGGGCCCCAGAAAGCAGGGACUGUGCACCUGCAGCGCGUGGAUGCACCUGGAGAUCAUUACACUGAGUGAAGUCAGUCAGAAAAGACGAAUCCCAUGUGGUGUCACUCAUACCGGAACCUAGACUAUGACACAAAUGACCCAGACCCCUGUCUGUGAAACAGACAGACUCACAGACGUAGAGAGCAGACGUGCGGUGGCCGCGGGGCACGGGGGAAGGCCUGAGUGGGGUUUGGGGUUACAGCUGCCAACGGCUACAUGCAGGCUGGGGAAACCGCAAGAUCCCAUCACACAGCACAGGGACCUCUGUCCGCUCUCAUGUGAUCAGCCUCAAUGGGAAAGAGUACCGGACAGGACGGAGCUGUAAGCGACCCACGCUGCUGUGCAGCGGAAAUUAACCCAGCACUGCAACUGGUCCAUUCUUCAAUUCAAAACACUCAUAAGGAAAAUAAAGAAGCAAGGACCACGUCUGGCCAGCACCGUGCCCCAAGCUCAGCUCAGGGCCUGGCAUACAGUAGGCGCUCAAUCUGUGUUUAGGGACCGAGGAAGAGUGAGUGGCAUCACCUUCUUCAUGGCUAAAAACUCCAAGGGGCUCUCCGGGACGCCGUGCUUCACAAACGCACGUUCGAAGUCAGGGAGUUCCCGUCACGGCUCAGCAGAAACAAAUCUGACGAGGAACCAUGAGGUUGAGGGUUCAAUUCAAGGUCUCUCUCAGUGGGUUAAGAAUCUGGCGUUGCUGUGGCUGUGGUGUAGGUCGCAGACGCAGCUCGGAUCUGGCGUUGCUGUGGCUGUGGUGUAGGCCUGUGACUACUGCUCAAUUCCCAGAUCUGUAGCCUGGGAAUCUCCGUAUGCUGCGGUUGUGGCCCUAAAGAGCGAAAA